rnacentral:sRNA from 1 species
GUGACCGGGCUUAAAAAUAACCACUUACAGAGAUAAUUCAAGCGGUACUGUAAA